rnacentral:rRNA from 1 species
AGCGAGCGCUGGCGGCAGGCUUAACACAUGCAAGUCGAGCGGGCACUUUCGGGUGUCCGCGGCGGACGGGUGAGUAACGCGUGGGAACGUGCCCUCUGGUUCGGAAUAACUCAGGGAAACUUGAGCUAAUACCGGAUACGCCCUUUUGGGGAAAGGCUUGCUGCCGGAGGAUCGGCCCGCGUCUGAUUAGCUAGUUGGUGAGGUAACGGCUCACCAAGGCGACGAUCAGUAGCUGGUCUGAGAGGAUGAUCAGCCACACUGGGACUGAGACACGGCCCAGACUCCUACGGGAGGCAGCAGUGGGGAAUAUUGGACAAUGGGCGCAAGCCUGAUCCAGCCAUGCCGCGUGAGUGGUCAAGGCCUUAGGGUUGUAAAGCUCUUUUAUCCGGGACGAUAAUGACGGUACCGGAGGAAUAAGCCCCGGCUAACUUCGUG